rnacentral:rRNA from 1 species
CACGUAGGCGGAUAUUUAAGUCAGGGGUGAAAUCCCGGGGCUCAACCCCGGAACUGCCUUUGAUACUGGGUAUCUUGAGUAUGGAAGAGGUAAGUGGAAUUGCGAGUGUAGAGGUGAAAUUCGUAGAUAUUCGCAGGAACACCAGUGGCGAAGGCGGCUUACUGGUCCAUUACUGACGCUGAGGUGCGAAAGCGUGGGGAGCAAACA